UACGGGGGGGGCAAGCGUUGUUCGGAAUUACUGGGCGUAAAGGGCUCGUAGGUGGCCAACUAAGUCAGACGUGAAAUCCCUCGGCUUAACCGGGGAACUGCGUCUGAUACUGGAUGGCUUGAGUCCGGGAGAGGGAUGCGGAAUUCCAGGUGUAGCGGUGAAAUGCGUAGAUAUCUGGAGGAACACCGGUGGCGAAGGCGGCAUCCUGGACCGGCAUUGACGCUGAGGAGCGAAAGCCAGGGGAGCAAACGGG
rnacentral:rRNA from 1 species